UGAAUACGAGAUGGUACGGCGUCGAAGCAGUCUAUGUCAUACUUCCAAGAAAAGCUCGCACUGUCAUAAACAAAUAAUGCCUGUACCAUAACCGACACAGGUGGGUAGGUAGAGUAUACUAAGGGGCGCGAGAUAACUCUCUCUAAGGAACUCGGCAAAAUGACUCCGUAACUUCGGGAGAAGGAGUGCCUUAUUUAUAAGGUUGCAAUAACAAGAUCCAAGCAACUGUUUAUCAAAAACACAGGUCUCCGCUAAGUCGUAAGACGAUGUAUGGGGGCUGACGCCUGCCCAGUGCCAGAAGGUUAAAGAAGUUGGUUAGCAUUCGCGAAGCUGAUAACUGAAGCCCUGGUGAACGGCGGCCGUAACAAUAACGGUCCUAAGGUAGCGAAAUUCCUUGUCGGGUAAGUUCCGACCCGCACGAAAGGCGUAAUGAUUUGGAUACUGUCUCGGAGAGGGGCUCGGUGAAAUAGACUUGUCUGUGAAGAUGCGGACUACCUGCACCAGGACAGAAAGACCCUAUGAAGCUUUACUGUAACUUGAGAUUGAAAUUGGACUUUACUUGCGCAGUAUAGGUGGGAGGCGUUGAUAAUAUUCUUGCGGGAUUAUUUGAGCCAUCAGUGAGAUACCACUCUUGUAAUGUUAGAUUUCUAACUUUGUAUCAUUAUCUGGUCAAAGGACAGUUUCAGGCGGGCAGUUUGACUGGGGCGGUCGCCUCCUAAACGGUAACGGAGGCGCACAAAGGUUUCCUCUGAACGGGUAGAAAUCGUAUCUAGAGUGUAAAGGCAUAAGGAAGCUUGACUGUGAGACCUACAAGUCGAGCAGGGACGAAAGUCGGUCUUAGUGGUCUGACGGUGCCGAGUGGAAAGGCCGUCACUCAACGGAUAAAAGUUACUCUAAGGAUAACAGGCUGAUCUCCCCCAAGAGUUCACAUCGACGGGGAGGUUUGGCACCUCGAUGUCGGCUCAUCGCAUCCUGGGGCGGUAGUACGUCCCAAGGGUUGGGCUGUUCGCCCAUGAAAGCGGUACGCGAGCUGGGUUCAGAACGUCGUGAGACAGUUCGGUCCAUAUCCGGUGUAGGCGUUAGAAUAUUGAGAGGAGCCUUCUUUAGUACGAGAGGACCGAGAAGGACAUACCUCUGGUGUACCAGUUAUCGUGCCAACGGUAAACGCUGGGUAGCUAUGUAUGGAGUGGAUAACCGCUGAAAGCAUCUAAGUGGGAAGCCCACCUCAAGAUAAGUAUUCUCA
rnacentral:rRNA from 1 species